rnacentral:rRNA from 1 species
CCUACGGGGGGCAGCAGUGAGGAAUAUUGGUCAAUGGACGAGAGUCUGAACCAGCCAAGUAGCGUGAAGGAUGACUGCCCUAUGGGUUGUAAACUUCUUUUAUAUGGGAAUAAAAUGUUCCACGUGUGGGAUUUUGUAUGUACCAUAUGCAUAAGGAUCGGCUAACUCCGUGCCAGCAGCCGCGGUAAUACGGAGGAUCCGAGCGUUAACCGGAUUUAUUGGGUUUAAAGGGAGCGUAGGUGGAUUGUUAAGUCAGUGGUGAAAGUUUGCGGCUCAACCGUAAAAUUGCAGUUGAAACUGGCAGUCGUGAGUACAGUAGAGGUGGGCGGAAUUCGUGGUGUAGCGGUGAAAUGCUUAGAUAUCACGAAGAACUCCGAUUGCGAAGGCAGCUCACUGGACUGCAACUGACACUGAGGCUCGAAAGUGUGGGUAUCAAACAGGAUUAGAUACCCUUGUAGUC